AGAGGUCAAAUACCGCGUGGAU
rnacentral:misc_RNA from 1 species